AGUGAAGCGGCUCGCGCGGGCCCGGCCGGCAGCCGCUCCCCAGACACCGGGGAUCCGGCCCGACUGUUUCCUACCCACGACGGCGAAGACCCGCUACAGCGCGUCCACGAAGCCCCAGUACUGAGCCAGGACGGGGCUCUCCCUCUCGAUGUAGGCGACUACGAACUGCUCCGCCAGCCGGUGAGGCAGCUAAUUAAGAAAGCCACCUUCAGGAUGUCUUUCGAGAAUCUAGCCUCGAAGAAAGUCAUGUAAGAGAACGCCUGCAUCAAAAAGUCGGGAGGCCGGGCGGAGUCGCCGUUAAACGUCCAGGGAAAGCCACCAGGUGGGCCGGCGAACGCUCCCGGGCCAGCAGGUAGGCUUUCUCGCACAGCAGCCCCCGCACCCGGUCCGUAAGCUCGUUGUUCUCCCUGCGCCGGGCAUGGUUCUAGGUCAGGAGGUCCUACAUCAUGACAGCCAACGCGUCCAUCCUGCGCCUCCCCGCAGGCCUUGCUCCCCGCUCGGUCCCUCCCGGCCGCGGCGCUGCCGGAAGUGCGUGUCGGCGCGGGGGCGGAUCCCGGUGGCGGCGAGGGGCGGACUCCGCGGACAAGGCCAGGCCUAGCCUUGAGCUCCGUCGGGCAGGGCCGCCGGGAUUGGUGUCCGGCAGAGCGUGAGCCCAGCGGGCUGGAGUCGGCGAGCGGGAGUGAAAGAAGAAAAGCUAGAGAGCGAAGGCAAAGCCCGAGGAGAGAGGGCCGCGGUCGGCGGAGGAAUCUGACUGCACGGUUGCGUGCGCUCACUCCCGGAGGGCUCCCUCAGGCGGGCGGCUCCGCUAGUGGCUAAAGGCAAAGCAUUCCGGGGCGCGGCGCAUGAAGUUGAGCUUCGUCCCUGCUAGCCGCCGCUUUCUCCCCAAAAAUACAUCCUAGCCUUAAUGUUUAUGCCUCCAUUGCCCCAGUUCUUAUCUGUUUUGCUCAAUGUCUCAUAGCUACAAGAAGGCAAUUUCUGACGAAGCCCUCCGUCCCUUCCAAAUGGAUUAUUUUGGCGGGCUUCCACCCGGACAGUAUGCCACCCGAAUGACUGGACAAGUGCACGGGAGCGGCUGUCAUUUGCGGAGUGCGCCUUGCGAUCUAGGCGCCUCACAGCGCAAAUUAUCCAGUAAUUUCUCUGAAAUCGAUGCUGGUUUGUUUUCCCAAGGCAAAUCAGCAGCUUAUACAGACAUUGGGGCCACAAAGCCGGUGGAACAACGGGAGACGGCUUCCUGAGUGUCAGGUCCUCCAAGAUGAGCUUAAACUUCGGGUGGUGGGCAGGCUCGGUAGGCGGGAAAGGCCCGUGUCCAGAUGAAUGCAGUCCAUGUUUAUAUUGAUGAAAGACACGUAUACCAUUUGGUCCAGCUCAACCAUUCUUAACAAGUGCUGGCUGUGAGCACUGGUGUGUGUGUGCCUGCGUGCAACCAGCAAUGUAAGUGAUGACCAGCUGCAUGAUGCCUUAAUUUGAGUGGACAAAGUCGGUCAAGAACCACUUUCAGGCUUCUGGGUCUCCAAGUCUUUGUCUCCCUGUAUCCAAACGAGGCAUUCCAAGUUUGACAGCAUGGAACAUUGCAUGUCCGAAAUACCAACCGUGAAACUGGGUAAAAAGCUUCAGGAGGUGAUAUUGAUGUGUAUAGUUUAGGAAAUAAAACCCAAUACUUACUUCAAAGAACGUAAUUUGUGGCUUUUUAGAGAGAAGGAUACUUUGACAGUUUUCAUUUGUCGUCUACAUGUAUAUGGUACGUUUCAUUCUGCCUUUUAAUUAAUUUGGUAUUUUACUAUGAAAACUACUUUGUAUUAAUAAAAUAAUGUAUUUCCAAUGUUAUAAGUUGUGUUAUAACAGUUUCAAAAGCCAAAUAAACAAGAUGCAUUUUGA
rnacentral:lncRNA from 1 species